CCUACGGGGGGCAGCAGUGAGGAAUAUUGGUCAAUGGUCGGGAGACUGAACCAGCCAAGCCGCGUGAGGGAUGAAGGUACAGAGUAUCGUAAACCUCUUUUGUCAGGGAACAAAGGCGGGUACGUGUCCCCGGAUGAGUGUACCUGACGAAUAAGCAUCGGCUAACUCCGUGCCAGCAGCCGCGGUAAUACGGGGGAUGCGAGCGUUAUCCGGAUUUAUUGGGUUUAAAGGGUGCGGAGGCGGUGUGUUAAGUCAGCGGUGAAAUGUCCGGGCCUAACCCGCGCCCGGCCGUUGAAACUGGCGGUCUCGAGUUGGAGAGAGGUAGGCGGAAUGCGCGGUGUAGCGGUGAAAUGCAUAGAUAUCGCGCAGAACACCGAUUGCGAAGGCAGCAUGCCGGCUCCACACUGACGCUGAGGCACGAAAGCGUGGGUAUCGAACAGGAUUAGAUACCCUUGUAGUC
rnacentral:rRNA from 1 species